GAUGAACGCUGGCGGCGUGCUUAACACAUGCAAGUCGAACGGAAAGGCCCAAGCUUGCUUGGGUACUCGAGUGGCGAACGGGUGAGUAACACGUGGGUGAUCUGCCCUGCACUUCGGGAUAAGCCUGGGAAACUGGGUCUAAUACCGGAUAGGACCACUUCUUGGAUGUUGUGGUGGAAAGUUUUUUCGGUGUGGGAUGAGCUCGCGGCCUAUCAGCUUGUUGGUGGGGUAAUGGCCUACCAAGGCGUCGACGGGUAGCCGGCCUGAGAGGGUGUACAGCCACAUUGGGACUGAGAUACGGCCCAGAUUCCUACGGGAGGCAGCAGUGGGGAAUAUUGCACAAUGGGCGCAAGCCUGAUGCAGCGACGCCGCGUGGGGGAUGACGGCCUUCGGGUUGUAAACUCCUUUCGCUAGGGACGAAGCUUAUUUUGUGACGGUACCUGGAGAAGAAGCACCGGCUAACUACGUGCCAGCAGCCGCAGUAA
rnacentral:rRNA from 1 species